UACGGAGGGGGUUAGCGUUGUUCGGAAUUACUGGGCGUAAAGCGCGCGUAGGCGGACCAGAAAGUUGGGGGUGAAAUCCCGGGGCUCAACCCCGGAACGGCCUCCAAAACCCCUGGUCUUGAGUUCGAGAGAGGUGAGUGGAAUUCCGAGUGUAGAGGUGAAAUUCGUAGAUAUUCGGAGGAACACCAGUGGCGAAGGCGGCUCACUGGCUCGAUACUGACGCUGAGGUGCGAAAGUGUGGGGAGCAAACAGG
rnacentral:rRNA from 1 species